GGCCGAUUAGCUCAGUUGGUAGAGCAGAGGACUGAAAAUCCUUGUGUCCACAGUUCAAUUCUGUGAUCGGCCACCA
rnacentral:tRNA from 1 species